rnacentral:rRNA from 1 species
GUCCAUGCUGUAAACGAUGAAUACUAGAUGUCAGAGCCCUAGAGGUUUUGGUAUCGCAGCUAACGCAUUAAGUAUUCCGCCUGGGGAGUACGGUCGCAAGACUAAAACUCAAAGGAAUUGACGGGGGCCCCGCACAAGCGGUGGAGCAUGUGGUUUAAUUCGAUGCAACGCGAAGAACCUUACCUGCACUUGACAUCCUCAGAACUGGUUGGAGACGACCGGGUGCCUUCGGGAACUGAGAGACAGGUGCUGCAUGGCUGUCGU